GAUGAAGAACGUAGCGAAAUGCGAUACUUGGUGUGAAUUGCAGAAUCCCGUGAACCAUCGAGUCUUUGAACGCAAGUUGCGCCCGAAGCCAUUAGGCCGAGGGCACGCCUGCCUGGGUGUCACACGUCGUUGCCCCCCCAUCUACUCCUUCGGGAUUGCGGGGGCGGAUGAUGGCCUCCCGUGCGCCUCGUCGCGCGGUUGGCAUAAAUGCCAAGUCCUCGGCGACGCACGCCACGACAAUCGGUGGUUGCGAAACCUCGGUUGCCCGUCGUGUGCGGUCGUCGCGCAUCGAGGGCUCGAAAAAAUUGCCGGGCUCCGGCUCGGCUUUCAACGCGACCCCAGGUCAGGCGGGGUUACCCGCUGAAUUUAAGCAUAUCAAUAAGCGGAGGA
rnacentral:misc_RNA from 1 species